rnacentral:siRNA from 1 species
UAACGUCCUGCCAAACCCGUCCC